rnacentral:lncRNA from 1 species
GAUAACGCCUCGUGAAAGAGCUGCUCUCUUCCAUUUUCUCAUUCUCUCUUUACUUUUUCAUUUUCUUUGAUUAUUUUAAUGACAAAUCUAGAGCUUGCCAAUAAUAAUGCUCUUAGAGCAUUUCCAAAAGACACUCUAUAAAUUCAAAUAUGAAGCUUUUUUGAUAUCCCAAAAUAAAUUUCAAAACUUCAAAUUUAAAGUUUUGAGGAGUGAAACUCUAUAUUUAAAGUUUCACUAUUCAAAAUUUCAAAUUUG